rnacentral:lncRNA from 1 species
AGCGAGGUAACUAAGAGAUUAACAUUUUAUUUAGUUCCCAUAAAUUCUACCAUACAUCAUUGAAACUAGGACAUUCUUAUUCUAUUACAAGUUAGCCAAAGCUUGUCAUUAUUUAUCUCUGUCCAAAUGUUCUCCCUUUAUAGCAAGUCAAGAGCUUAUUCUUAUCAUCUGUCCUAGAUUGAUGCAGGCCUCCAUCAGAGAGACUUCCUCGCUUUGGUGCAGCUCUUUGAGCAUGUAGACAAGCAGGCCCCCAUAUCAUUUCCCUCUGUCAUCAAGCAUCAAAGCUAAUUAGAGAUGCAGCUGGAUAUAAUCUAUGCUUAACGAGCAAGUGGCUCAUAAUAGAAUCUAUAAUACCACCCAAGGGAGGAUACCAGAUAAUAUAAUUUCGUUCUCACCUGGAUCAAGUUGGCUACAGGAGGACUUGGCACACGCAGAGAUACAACCGGAAUCAGACUUAGCUGCAGAAUGCUGACCAUCACAUUUUUGAUGGCACUUUUCUACGCAAAACGGGAAUGGGUUUCGAAAGAAAAUGCAUUCGUUAAAGCAUUGGUCGAAGCAUUGUGAUGCCGAGCUUUGUCCAACAAGCAGGACUAGAAUGGUAGCUACUGCGAAGAUCGCCUUGACACCAUUAUACUCCAUGACUAAUAGCCUAUGAGAAAUCAGCAGGAUGAAGCCUAACUCUGGGGAAAAAAAGCAAUUUCUGAAGGCCCUAUUUAUAGAGGUUUUC